rnacentral:rRNA from 1 species
UACGGAGGAUGCGAGCGUUAUCCGGAAUGAUUGGGCGUAAAGGGUGCGCAGGCGGUCCUGCAAGUCUGGAGUGAAACGUAUGAGCUCAACUCAUGCAUGGCUCUGGAAACUGGAGGACUGGAGAGCAGGAGAGGGCGGUGGAACUCCAUGUGUAGCGGUAAAAUGCGUAGAUAUAUGGAAGAACACCAGUGGCGAAGGCGGCCGCCUGGCCUGUUGCUGACGCUGAGGCUCGAAAGCAUGGGUAGCGAACAGG